AUACGUAGGGGGCAAGCGUUAUCCGGAAUCAUUGGGCGUAAAGAGUGCGUAGGUGGUUUCUUAAGCGUGGGGUUUAAGGCUACGGCUUAACCGUAGUUCGCCCCAUGAACUGGGAGACUUGAGUGCUGGAGAGGAAAGUGGAAUUCCUAGUGUAGCGGUGAAAUGCGUAGAUAUUAGGAGGAACACCAGUGGCGAAGGCGGCUUUCUGGACAGUAACUGACACUGAGGUACGAAAGUGUGGGGAGCAAACAGGAUUAGAUACCCUGGUAGUCCACACCGUAAACGAUGAGCACUAGGUGUCGGGCUCGCAAGAGUUCGGUGCCGCAGUUAACGCAUUAAGUGCUCCGCCUGGGGAGUACGUACGCAAGUAUGAAACUCAAAUGAAUUGACGGGG
rnacentral:rRNA from 1 species